UGCAGAGUUGGUCACUGCUCCUAGCAGCAUCAGGCUUAGGCCUGUUUUUCCAGAACUUUUUGCCUUUGUGAGUUUUGAUGCUCGAGGCUUCUUUGGCUUGAAAAGCCCCUUCCUGGUGCUCCUCUUGUCUGCUGGCUCUUCUUUGCUCUUGUGCAUACAAGGCAUUGAUUAGCUCAGUUAAGGAGAUAGUUGUCAAGUCCCUUGAGUCUUCGAGGGAUGAAAUUUUAGCUUCAUACCUCUCUGGUAGAGUGGACAUGACUUUCUCAACCAUUCUAGCUUCACUGAAUUGCUCUCCUAGGAGCCUUAUGCUGUUUACAACAGCCAUAAUCCGAUCUGAG
rnacentral:lncRNA from 1 species